AAGGAUUCAACCCCACAACUGCUGUCUAGAAAACCGAGGAAAGUGACGCAACCCGCGGGAGGUCUGACGGCCCGAGAGCCGCAGCGCCAGGCCCGGGAGCCAGCCCCGUCCACUUCCCCGGUGGAUUCUUCUCCGUUCCCCGCCGGCCGCCCCAGGUGAAGCUCCUUUCCGCCGUCAGAAGGAGGCUCCCAGCGGGAAGCAGCAUCGAGGGCGACCCAGGGCCAGCACGGGAAAUGCCAGGGACCGCGUCAGCCGAGCCUGCUGGAACCCCGCUCCUCGCUGCAGACGCCGUUCCGCCUGAGGACAGUACUCGGGCAUGGGGAGUCAGGUGCCCGCCACAGGAACGCAAGAGACCGCGCCGGACCAGCGAAAAAGCUCCAUGCUCUCCUGGUUUUCCAACCCGACGCCGCGGCCUGCGGCCACUCUAGGACGCCGGAGGGUCCUCCUCUCAGUGGUUGGGGCUGGGCCGCCCUGCGCCGGGAGCCGCCCACCUUCGGGCUGGGCCGGGCCUGGCCAGAGUCUGGGCUAAGCGCAGGGCCUGCAUGAAUCUUCAGCCUGGGAGGUGGGGCAGGAGCACGGAGAAGUCUCGAAGAAGUGGAGGAAGCACGCACUGGCUGCCGCGGGAAAAGCUCAGCCAGCAACUGUAUCAGCUUUACAUUCGACCCUCCUUUGCUGCAUGGCAAAAAGAAAAUAAACUACCAUUUCUUAGUUCGUGUUUUAUUUUCAGCUAUUUCUUGUUUCCUUGGUUUCGAUUCUAAUUAUUGCUGUAGACGCCUUCAGGUGGUGGAAGCCAAGGCAAGGAACCCCUGACCGCAAUUUCCUAACCUUUGGGCAGAGUGUGGGGUGUGGGGACUCCCCGCCUGCCUUUCCCCGCCCCCCCUUCAUAGAGACCUAAAAACCUUUAAAAAGGAUCUAACACUAGCUCUAUUAUCUACCCUGUAGCCUACUCAACUAAUUAAUUCAGACAUUUAUAAUUACACACCAAAAAAAAAAGAGAGAGAGAAAAAAA
rnacentral:lncRNA from 1 species